rnacentral:lncRNA from 1 species
CUAAUCUGCUGCUACUAUUUUAGUGUUCUUCCUUUUAAAUCUACCUACUCUUUCUAGAUUUCUGGAGUACUAUAUAUACCAAAAAAAACCACAAACAACAAAUAAACAGAAGAUCACUGGACAUGAAUUAGUUUUGAGCCGCCUGUUUCAAGUCAGUCAAAACAUUCCAAACUUCAAAAGGAAAGCUCUGCCUUCUUAGACCAUUUUGGUGUCCCUCUAUGGUUGGCCUAGGAGGGAUCGGUUAUUUGGAUAAAUUAAUUUCUGGAGCCUGCUGGCCUUCUAGAAGACCUCAAUGUCUGACGGCAAAUUAGUUCUACUGAACACGAAG